rnacentral:rRNA from 1 species
CGAAAGCCUGACGGAGCAAUACCGCGUGAGGGAGGAAGGCUCUUGGGUCGUAAACCUCUUUUCUCAGGGAAGAACACAAUGACGGUACCUGAGGAAUAAGCAUCGGCUAACUCCGUGCCAGCAGCCGCGGUAAUACGGAGGAUGCAAGCGUUAUCCGGAAUGAUUGGGCGUAAAGCGUCCGCAGGUGGCGAUGUAAGUCUGCUGUUAAAGAGUGAGGCUCAACCUCAUAAGAGCAGUGGAAACUACAUAGCUAGAGUACGUUCGGGGCAGAGGGAAUUCCUGGUGUAGCGGUGAAAUGCGUAGAGAUCAGGAAGAACACCAGUGGCGAAGGCGCUCUGCUAGGCCGUAACUGACACUGAGGGACGAAAGCUAGGGGAGCG